rnacentral:rRNA from 1 species
GGAAUGUGAUGAUUCAUAGUAAUCGAACGAAUCGCAGGUAUAUGCGAUAAGUCAUUCAAGUUUUCUGCCCUAUCAGCUUUGGAUGGUAGUGUAUUGGACUACCAUGGCAGUCACGGGUAACGGAGAAUUAGGGGUUCGAUUCCGGAGAGGGAGCCUGAGAAACGGCUACCACAUCUACGGAAGGCAGCAGGCGCGCAAAUUGCCCAAUCCUGACACGGGGAGGCAGUGACAAGAAAUAACAACUCUAGGAUUUCUUAGAAGUGUAAUGAGGAUAAUUUACAACCUUACCGAAUGCAAUUGGAGGGCAAGUCUGGUGCCAGCAGCCGCGGUAAUUCCAGCUCCAAUAGCGUAUAUUAAAGUUGUUGCAGUUAAAAAGCUCGUAGUUGAAGUUCUGAUUGCUCAGGUUUCCAGCCUUAGGCGGAGAUACUGACAGUCAUCCGCUUGCAAACAUAUGUUCGAUCUUCACCGGUUGGCUAUGUGAGU